ACGCUCGUUUCAGCAGCACAUGCACUAAAAUUGGAACGAUACAGAAAAGAUUGGCGUGGCCUCUGCGCAAGGAUGACACGCAAAUCUGCAAAAUGUUCCACAUUUUU